UACGAAGGGGGCUAGCGUUGUUCGGAAUUACUGGGCGUAAAGCGCACGUAGGCGGACUUGUAAGUCAGGGGUGAAAUCCCGGGGCUCAACCCCGGAACUGCCUUUGAUACUGCAAGUCUCGAGUCCGAUAGAGGUGAGUGGAACUCCUAGUGUAGAGGUGAAAUUCGUAGAUAUUAGGAAGAACACCAGUGGCGAAGGCGGCUCACUGGAUCGGUACUGACGCUGAGGUGCGAAAGCGUGGGGAGCAAACAGG
rnacentral:rRNA from 1 species